GACGAACGCUGGCGGCGUGCCUAAUACAUGCAAGUCGAGCGCAGGGAACUGACGGAACUCUUCGGAGGGAAGGCAGUGGAAUGAGCGGCGGACGGGUGAGUAACACGUAAGGAACCUGCCUCAAGGAUUGGGAUAACUCCGAGAAAUCGGAGCUAAUACCGGAUAGUUCAACGGACCGCAUGGUCCGCUGAUGAAAGGCGCUCCGGCGUCACCUUGAGAUGGCCUUGCGGUGCAUUAGCUAGUUGGUGGGGUAACGGCCCACCAAGGCGACGAUGCAUAGCCGACCUGAGAGGGUGAUGGGCCACACUGGGACUGAGAAACGGCCCAGACUCCUACGGGAGGCAGCAGUAGGGAAUCUUCCACAAUGGACGAAAGUCUGAUGGAGCAACGCCGCGUGAGUGAUGAAGGUUUUCGGAUCGUAAAACUCUGUUGUAAGGGAAGAACACGUACGAGAGGGAAUGCUCGUACCUUGACGGUACCUUACGAGAAAGCCACGGCUAACUACGUGCCAGCCGCCGCGGUAAGAC
rnacentral:rRNA from 1 species